CCUGCUGUCGGUUCUGCCGUGUGGGGGAGUGAGGCCUGGUGAGGCCUUGUGGACCUUGGGAGGCAGAGGGUGCUGGUAGUCAUUCAGCAUGAUUUCUGCCUGUUUCCCAGAGGGAGGGGUGAAGUCACCUGUUGUUGAGGAGGGAGAAAUCCUGAUUUUAGCAAUGAGACCCUUCAUGUGCAGCUGAAAUGAGCAGAAAUACAAGCUUUUACUGUCUCUAAAACACUCAUUUAAUCCUCCCACACACAUCCUCUAUUUCUGCUUUCUGAGAGAACACACUUCCUCAUGCUGAGUUCGUAUUAUCUUAUGAAGUGCCACAGCUACAUCUCACCCAGCUUCAGGUCCCCAUGAAUAUUAAAACAAAGGAGAUCAUGGGAAAAAAAGUGGAAUAUUGGAAAGGACAUUUGAGGAAAUCCUCUUAAGAAUUACUGAAGAUAUAAUAAUAAGAAGAAAACUAGGUCACAU